rnacentral:tRNA from 1 species
UUCAGCUUGGCAGAUGAAUGCAAUAAAUUUAGAAUUUAUUUAUGAGAUAAACUCAGUUGAUA